rnacentral:rRNA from 1 species
CGGCGUGCUUAACACAUGCAAGUCGAACGGAAAGGCCCUGCUUUUGUGGGGUGCUCGAGUGGCGAACGGGUGAGUAACACGUGAGUAACCUGCCCUUGACUUUGGGAUAACUUCAGGAAACUGGGGCUAAUACCGGAUAGGAGCUCCUGCUGCAUGGUGGGGGUUGGAAAGUUUCGGCGGUUGGGGAUGGACUCGCGGCUUAUCAGCUUGUUGGUGGGGUAGUGGCUUACCAAGGCUUUGACGGGUAGCCGGCCUGAGAGGGUGACCGGCCACAUUGGGACUGAGAUACGGCCCAGACUCCUACGGGAGGCAGCAGUGGGGAAUAUUGCACAAUGGGCGGAAGCCUGAUGCAGCAACGCCGCGUGCGGGAUGACGGCCUUCGGGUUGUAAACCGCUUUCGCCUGUGACGAAGCGUGAGUGACGGUAAUGGGUAAAGAAGCACCGGCUAACUACGUGCCAGCAGCCGCGGUGAUACGUAGGGUGCGAGCGUUGUCCGGAUUUAUUGGGCGUAAAGGGCUCGUAGGUGGUUGAUCGCGUCGGAAGUGUAAUUUUGGGGCUUAACCCUGAGCGUGCUUUCGAUACGGGUUGACUUGAGGAAGGUAGGGGAGAAUGGAAUUCCUGGUGGAGCGGUGGAAUGCGCAGAUAUCAGGAGGAACACCAGUGGCGAAGGCGGUUCUCUGGGCCUUUCCUGACGCUGAGGAGCGAAAGCGUGGGGAGCGAACAGGCUUAGAUACCCUGGUAGUCCACGCCGUAAACGGUGGGUACUAGGUGUGGGGUCCAUUCCACGGGUUCCGUGCCGUAGCUAACGCUUUAAGUACCCCGCCUGGGGAGUACGGCCGCAAGGCUAAAACUCAAAGGAAUUGACGGGGCCCCGCACAAGCGGCGGAGCAUGCGGAUUAAUUCGAUGCAACGCGUAGAACCUUACCUGGGUUUGACAUGGAUCGGGAGUGCUCAGAGAUGGGUGUGCCUCUUUUGGGGUCGGUUCACAGGUGGUGCAUGGCUGUCGUCAGCUCGUGUCGUGAGAUGUUGGGUUAAGUCCCGCAACGAGCGCAACCCUUGUUCACUGUUGCCAGCACGUUAUGGUGGGGACUCAGUGGAGACCGCCGGGGUCAACUCGGAGGAAGGUGGGGAUGACGUCAAGUCAUCAUGCCCCUUAUGUCCAGGGCUUCACGCAUGCUACAAUGGCUGGUACAGAGAGUGGCGAGCCUGUGAGGGUGAGCGAAUCUCGGAAAGCCGGUCUCAGUUCGGAUUGGGGUCUGCAACUCGACCUCAUGAAGUCGGAGUCGCUAGUAAUCGCAGAUCAGCAACGCUGCGGUGAAUACGUUCCCGGGGCUUGUACACACCGCCCGUCAAGUCAUGAAAGUUGGUAACACCCGAAGCCGGUGGCCUAACCGUUGUGGGGGAGCCGUCGAAGGUGGGACUGGUGAUUAGGACUAAGUC